AUUGAACGCUGGCGGCAGGCCUAACACAUGCAAGUCGAGCGGAUGAAGGGAGCUUGCUCCUGGAUUCAGCGGCGGACGGGUGAGUAAUGCCUAGGAAUCUGCCUGGUAGUGGGGGAUAACGUCCGGAAACGGGCGCUAAUACCGCAUACGGCCUGAGGGAGAAAGUGGGGGAUCUUCGGACCUCACGCUAUCAGAUGAGCCUAGGUCGGAUUAGCUAGUUGGUGGGGUAAAGGCCUACCAAGGCGACGAUCCGUAACUGGUCUGAGAGGAUGAUCAGUCACACUGGAACUGAGACGCGGUCCAGACUCCUACGGGAGGCAGCAGUGGGGACUAUUGGACGAUGGGCGAAAGCCUGCUCCAGCCGUGCCGGGUGUGUGAAGAAGGUCUUCGGAUUGUAAAGCACUUUAAGUUGGGAGGAAGGGCAGUAAGUUAAUACCUUGCUGUUUUGACGUUACCAACAGAAUAAGCACCGGCUAACUUCGUG
rnacentral:rRNA from 1 species